AACCCCGUGGCCCAAUGGAUUAGCGCGUUGGACUUCUAAUUCAAAGGUUGCGGGUUCGAGUCCCAUCGGGGGUG
rnacentral:tRNA from 1 species